rnacentral:rRNA from 1 species
AACGAACGCUGGCGGCAUGCCUAACACAUGCCAGUCGAACGAGACCUUCGGGUCUAGUGGCGCACGGGUGCGUAACGCGUGGGAACCUGCCCUUAGGUUCGGAAUAACUCCCCGAAAGGGGUGCUAAUACCGGAUAAUGUCUUCGGACCAAAGAUUUAUCGCCUUUGGAUGGGCCCGCGUUGGAUUAGCUAGUUGGUAGGGUAAAAGCCUACCAAGGCGACGAUCCAUAGCUGGUCUGAGAGGAUGAUCAGCCACACUGGGACUGAGACACGGCCCAGACUCCUACGGGAGGCAGCAGUGGGGAAUAUUGGACAAUGGGCGAAAGCAUGAACCAGCAAUGCCGCGUGAGUGAUGAAGGCCGUAGGGUUGUAAAGCGCUUUUAACCGGGAUGAUAAUGACAGUACCGGGAGAAUAAGCGCCGGCUAACUCCGUG